rnacentral:rRNA from 1 species
UUUGACCUCGGAUCAGGUGGG